CCUACGGGUGGCUGCAGUGAGGAAUAUUGGUCAAUGGGCGCGAGCCUGAACCAGCCAAGUAGCGUGAAGGAUGACUGCCCUACGGGUUGUAAACUUCUUUUAUAAAGGAAUAAAGUGAGGCACGUGUGCCUUUUUGUAUGUACUUUAUGAAAAAACAUCGGCUAACUCCGUGCCAGCAGCCGCGUUCAUACGGAGGUUGCGAGCGUUAUACGGAUUUAUUGGGUUUAACGGGUGCGCCGUCGGAGGUGCAAGUCAGUGGUCAAAUUGCGGGGCUCAACCCCGUACUGCCGUUGAAACUGCAUCCCUAGAGUGCGCGAGAGGUAUGCGGAAUGCGUGGUGUAGCGGUGAAAUGCAUAGAUAUCACGAAGAACUCCGAUUGCGAAGGCAGCAUACCGGCGCGCAACUGACGCUCAUGCACGAAAGCGUGGGUAUCGAACAGGAUUAGAUACCCCGGUAGUC
rnacentral:rRNA from 1 species